rnacentral:lncRNA from 1 species
AGACCUCGCGGUGGGCUUAGACACUAGAACUCCAACAUAGGAAAGCUGAUGAGCUUAGGAUAAUAGAUUCCACACCCAGUGGUUGUGUCAUCUGGUUGAUUUUAAAUAUUAAGAUGGUCUGGUGUUUCCCAUCCGCAAAGAUUCAGGUGGGCAAGAGAGAGGGCACAGCCAUGAGUUGGCAGUUGGCAGUUGGUAGAACCAGCCACAGGGGUGGAUGGUCUGUGGAACGCGUAGCUCCAGGCAUUCUUCCAGGCAUUCUUAGGAGGGAUGGUUACUGAGCGGCAUGGCAGCGCCUGCCGCAAGAGUGGACUGCAGUCUAGGGAAGGGGCCAGCUGAAAAGAUGUAACUAACAGGCAGGCAGUUAAAUAGCGUGGAUCUGAAUGAGACCAGCGUGGUCGUUGGCGGCGUGGUGGAAUUAGCCUCGAGAGCUCUGUUAGAGCCUAGCAUGGCCAUCUUCUGAAAGGCCCAACAAGCAGCCGACUGAGGCAGACACAGAUACACCCUACCAAUGGACUGAAGUCUGGGAUCCCUGUGGUUGAAUUAGGGAAAGGCUGGAAGAAGCUGAGGAGGAGCGUGAGCCCAGGAGGGAGACCAGUAGUCUCAACUAACCUGGACCCCUGAGAUCUACAGCAGAAGACUGCCUGUUCUGGCCUCAGUGAGAGAAGAAGCAUCUAACCCUUGAGAGCAAGAGACUUGAGGCCCCCAGGGAAUGGGGAGACCAGGAACUCAUCCAUGUGACCCGGAAAGUGCCUUAAACUCAGACCAUUGCCGACUGCAUGUGUAUGUUUCCUGCUCAGAGCUAUGCAAAACUACAAGGCCUUCCACAACAUAAAGUCUUAAGGUUUGCCACUGAGAUUUCACGCCGUUUCCUGUUUGAGGGGGACGACCUGACAAGUCUCUCUUGAGCUAAAGAGGAAAACGUGGUGUCAACAAAUCGUUUUGAAAUUUCAGAAAGUAAAGAGAAAUAAAGGAAUGUAGGUUUUCUUUGUGCAUAGCCACUGAAUUUG